AGAGUUUGAUCAUGGCUCAGGACGAACGCUGGCGGCGUGCCUAAUACAUGCAAGUCGAGCGAAUCUUUUGGGACUUGUCCCUUAAGAUUAGCGGCGGACGGGUGAGUAACACGUGGGUAACCUGCCUGUAAGACUGGGAUAACUUCGGGAAACCGGAGCUAAUACCGGAUAAUUUCUUUUCUCGCAUGAGAGAAGAUGGAAAGAUGGUUUCGGCUAUCACUUACAGAUGGACCCGCGGCGCAUUAGCUAGUUGGUGAGGUAACGGCUCACCAAGGCCACGAUGCGUAGCCGACCUGAGAGGGUGAUCGGCCACACUGGGACUGAGACACGGCCCAGACUCCUACGGGAGGCAGCAGUAGGGAAUCUUCCGCAAUGGACGAAAGUCUGACGGAGCAACGCCGCGUGAGCGAAGAAGGCCUUCGGGUCGUAAAGCUCUGUUGUUAGGGAAGAACAAGUACAAGAGUAACUGCUUGUACCUUGACGGUACCUAACCAGAAAGCCCGGCUAACUUCGUGCCAGCAGCCGCGGUA
rnacentral:rRNA from 1 species